rnacentral:rRNA from 1 species
GACGAACGCUGGCGGCGUGCUUAACACAUGCACGUCGUACGAAGUGGCGAACGGGUGAGUAAUACGUGGGUAACUGCCCUCCUUUUUGGUAUAAGCCUUGGAAACGGGGUCUAAUACCGAAUAUUGGGGGAUGCCUCGCGUCCUAUCAGCUUGUUGGUGGGGUAGUGGCCUACCAAGGCGACGACGGUUAGCCGGCCUGAGAGAGCGACUGGCCACAGUGGGCUGGGAUACAGGCCAAACUCCUACGGGAGGCAGCAGAGGGGAAUAUUGCACGAGGGGGGAAACCCUGAUGCAGCAACGCCGCGUGCGGGAUGACGGCCUUCGGGUUGUAAACCGCUUUCAGCCAUGACGCGGUAGUGGCAGAAGAAGCACCGGCUAACUACGGGCCAGCAGCCGCGGUAAUAC